UACGUAGGGUGCGAGCGUUAAUCGGAAUUACUGGGCAUAAAGCGUGCGCAGGCGGUUCGCCAAGUCAGGUGUGAAAUCCCCGGGCUUAACCUGGGAAUUGCGCUUGAAACUAGCGGGCUUGAGUGUGGCAGAGGGGGGUGGAAUUCCACGUGUAGCAGUGAAAUGCGUAGAGAUGUGGAGGAACACCGAUGGCGAAGGCAGCCCCCUGGGUCAACACUGACGCUCAUGCACGAAAGCGUGGGGAGCAAACAGG
rnacentral:rRNA from 1 species